AUCCAGCUGACGAGUCCCAAAUAGGACGAAAUACGCGUCAAACUGGAU
rfam:Schistosoma rodhaini strain Burundi genome assembly, scaffold: SROB_scaffold0009780